AGUGAACGCUGGCGGUAGGCCUAACACAUGCAAGUCGAACGGCAGCACAGUAAGAGCUUGCUCUUACGGGUGGCGAGUGGCGGACGGGCGAGGAAUACAUCGGAAUCUACUUUUUCGUGGGGGAUAACGUAGGGAAACCUACGCUAAUACCGCAUACGACCUACGGGUGAAAGCAGGGGAACUUCGGACCUUGCGCGAUUGAAUGAGCCGAUGUCGGAUUAGCUAGUUGGCGGGGUAAUGGCCCACCAAGGCGACGAUCCGUAGCUGGUCGGAGAGGAGGAUCGGCGACACUGGAACUGAGACACGGUCCAGACUCCUGCGGGAGGCAGCAGUGGGGAAUGGGAGACAAUGGGCGCGAGCCUGAUCCAACCAUACCGCGUGUGUGACGAAGGCGUUCGGAUUGUAAAGCCGUUUUGCUGGUUAAGAACAGCUGUAGCUUGAUACGCCGCUGGACUGACGGUACCGAAUAAAUAAGCACCGGCUAACUACGUG
rnacentral:rRNA from 1 species